rnacentral:tRNA from 1 species
GCGGCCGUGGCGUAAUGGUAGCGUAGAAGACUGUGGCUCUUCAGGCCCGGGUUCAAUUCCCGGCGGCCGCC